ensembl:lncRNA
ACACUCUGUUUUUUAUUGCCCUACCACACUGAUGUGCUUUCAAUAUUUUUUGCUUAAAAUCAAGUGUGGAGAAGACAAGAGAUGCACCUGGGGACAAGUUCCAAGUUCCCUCAUGUGAAUCUUCUACAGAGGCAUCCAGAGCACGUCAGCCUUGGCGUUGAGUCACGGCCUGAACCUCUGAUUGACCACCUGAGGCGAGUGCUGAGUCAGCUGCAGGGGCACAGGUGAACGCAAUUUCACCUGAGUGACUGGAAGGGGUGGAGCCUGGCUCCAUCCUUUCUAGACCCCAUUUAAGGGCUGACUCCCAAAGAGGAAGGAUCUUUAUCUGGGGAUCACUCCUCUUGGAGCCCUUCUGUGAGCCCAGGACAUGGGUAAGAUCUUAUUUCAUUUCUUCUUUGUAACACGAUAAUAUCUCUGGUCCUAUACCUGUUUGCCAUACAACUUUCAAUCCUUGAAUCUUGUAAAAUACAGGAAAUAGGGGAGAGUAUAUUUAUGUAUUCCUGACAGCCUUCCUUUGGCUUAACGGUUAUCCUAGCUAAAAACUGAUUUCUGUCUGUGUUGCUACAUAUGACACUGGAUGGCUUGGAUUAUGUAUAGCAAAAUGUAAUUAAAGAUACAUAUUCCAUGAGAGAGGUUGAUUCACCAAGGAAAAGAAGAUUUUCCAAUCCAGAAAUAAGGAUUAAGGAAGAAGGAGGUUUGCAGAGACUUGAAUACAUUAAUUUUCAUAACAGCUUACAUAGCAGUUCAGACACUUCUAUUGUGUACAGUGUAGUUAGUGCCUUCUUUCACCUGAAAUCAAGAAGAAAGGUUGUGCCUAUGUGGACUUAGAUGCAAGAAUAUUUUAUUUUGUAGUCAAAGAGCAAAUAUCCUAGCAUUGAAAACAGUUGCUGAUAAAUUGCAGUCAAGGAUUGCAGUGGCCAGGUCAUGGCAAAAAAAAAAAAAAAAAAAAAAAAACAAACAUGCUCCAUAUUUUCUUUUGGGACUGAAGUGGAUUGAAAAUUAAAUGGCUGACAAGAAUGUUUUCCCAUAUCUCGUAGUCUCACAGUGCUUGUUGGACUUUCCUUGCCUUGGGCUCAUGAUGAACCAGAUCUGGGAAUAAGAUAGAAAUGUCACUCCAGUGCUGUCUGUGAGCUGCUGAGUCUCAACCAAAAGGUCUUAAACCAGCCUCAGCAGUUUACAAAGAGCUAAAACUUCUGUGUUCUGUAAUAGAAGAAAAAUACACUUUAGAAGCUAUGCUGGAAUAGAGAGCUGCAUUCCCUGUUAUCACCCACGAUAAAGGUCAGUUCAUUGACUUAACGUAUUUUAUGGGUCACCUUUUGCACUUCUGAAGACGUGUGAAAGUACUGUGAGGAACUGGUUCCAGUAUAACUUUCCUGGUGUGAUUGUGAGAUAAAUACAAAGUAACAGAGAGAAAAACACUACAGUAUGAUGGUUUUUUUUGUGUCAAAUUUGUUUAAAUGUAGGUUGUUUUAUUUGUAGAGAGAGGCUACUUUUGUG